UUUAAGUCUCUAUACAUCUUAGUACCUCCCGGAUGAACUGUAUAACCGGUCUGAUGUGCCUCCUAAAGUAUUUCAUACUUGAGUACUGAAUCAUUAGGUAUGCAAAUCUUAUUUUCGAACCUCAACGAACCAUCUUCAUGUAUCUUGAAUUCAGAUUGAACACCAGCUUCCACUGAAUUUCUUAUUUUCAUUAGUUGUGGAUCAUCAUUCUGGGCAACUGUAAUUCUUUCAAUGAGUGUUGGCUGAACCCUCAUGUUGGCUAAUCAUACUGUUGAGUCAUAUAUUCGGAUGUCUAAUU
rnacentral:lncRNA from 1 species